rnacentral:rRNA from 1 species
GGCAACCUACCUGUAAGACUGGGAUAACUCCGGGAAACCCGGGGCUAAUACCGGAUGAAACAAAGCGUCGCAUGACGCAAUGUUAAAAGGCGGCAUAUGCUGUCACUUACAGAUGGGCCCGCGGCGCAUUAGCUAGUUGGUGAGGUAAAGGCUCACCAAGGCAACGAUGCGUAGCCGACGUGAGAGGGUGAUCGGCCACACUGGGACUGAGACACGGCCCAGACUCCUACGGGAGGCAGCAGUAGGGAAUCUUCCGCAAUGGACGAAAGUCUGACGGAGCAACGCCGCGUGAGUGAUGAAGGUUUUCGGAUCGUAAAACUCUGUUGUUAGGGAAGAACAAGUGCCAUUCGAAUAGGUUGGCACCUUGACGGUACCUAACCAGAAAGCCCCGGCUAACUACGUGCCAGCAGCCGCGGUAAUACGUAGGGGGCAAGCGUUGUCCGGAAUUAUUGGGCGUAAAGCGCGCGCAGGCGGUCCUUUAAGUCUGAUGUGAAAGCCCACGGCUUAACCGUGGAGGGCCAUUGGAAACUGGAGGACUUGAGUACAGAAGAGGAGAGUGGAAUUCCACGUGUAGCGGUGAAAUGCGUAGAGAUGUGGAGGAACACCAGUGGCGAAGGCGACUCUCUGGUCUGUAACUGACGCUGAGGUGCGAAAGCGUGGGUAGCGAACAGGAUUAGAUACCCUGGUAGUCCACGCCGUAAACGA